UGAAAGUCAGGUCGGAUUAAGCCAUAGUACGGAAAAAACUAUGCUACCUGUGAGCCCCGUCCAAGGACGUAAAAAGAAGUCAGGCCAUCACAAAUGCCACAGCUUGAGCAAACUGUGCAGCCUGUAGCUCCAC
rnacentral:lncRNA from 1 species